CGGCGAUUUCCGAAUGGGGAAACCCAGUGUGUUUCGACACACUAUCAUUAACUGAAUCCAUAGGUUAAUGAGGCGAACCGGGGGAACUGAAACAUCUAAGUACCCCGAGGAAAAGAAAUCAACCGAGAUUCCCCCAGUAGCGGCGAGCGAACGGGGAGGAGCCCAGAGCCUGAAUCAGCAUGUGUGUUAGUGGAAGCGUCUGGAAAGGCGCGCGAUACAGGGUGACAGCCCCGUACACAAAAGCGCAUGUGCUGUGAGCUCGAUGAGUAGGGCGGGACACGUGGUAUCCUGUCUGAAUAUGGGGGGACCAUCCUCCAAGGCUAAAUACUCCUGACUGACCGAUAGUGAACCAGUACCGUGAGGGAAAGGCGAAAAGAACCCCGGCGAGGGGAGUGAAAAAGAACCUGAAACCGUGUACGUACAAGCAGUGGGAGCACCCUUCGGGGUGUGACUGCGUACCUUUUGUAUAAUGGGUCAGCGACUUAUAUUCUGUAGCAAGGUUAACCGUAUAGGGGAGCCGAAGGGAAACCGAGUCUUAACUGGGCGUUAAGUUGCAGGGUAUAGACCCGAAACCCGGUGAUCUAGCCAUGGGCAGGUUGAAGGUUGGGUAACACUAACUGGAGGACCGAACCGACUAAUGUUGAAAAAUUAGCGGAUGACCUGUGGCUGGGGGUGAAAGGCCAAUCAAACCGGGAGAUAGCUGGUUCUCCCCGAAAGCUAUUUAGGUAGCGCCUCGUGAAUUCAUCUCCGGGGGUAGAGCACUGUUUCGGCUAGGGGGCCAUCCCGGCUUACCAACCCGAUGCAAACUGCGAAUACCGGAGAAUGUUAUCACGGGAGACACACGGCGGGUGCUAACGUCCGUCGUGAAGAGGGAAACAACCCAGACCGCCAGCUAAGGUCCCAAAGUCAUGGUUAAGUGGGAAACGAUGUGGGAAGGCCCAGACAGCCAGGAUGUUGGCUUAGAAGCAGCCAUCAUUUAAAGAAAGCGUAAUAGCUCACUGGUCGAGUCGGCCUGCGCGGAAGAUGUAACGGGGCUAAACCAUGCACCGAAGCUGCGGCAGCGAACGUAUCACCCAAGACAACUUUACGGAGUUGACGAUUGACGGAGCGAAGCGACGUCAAAGCGUUCAUUAAAGUCGAGUUGGCUUAGGGAUACGUUCGUUGGGUAGGGGAGCGUUCUGUAAGCCUGUGAAGGUGUGUCGUGAGGCAUGCUGGAGGUAUCAGAAGUGCGAAUGCUGACAUAAGUAACGAUAAAGCGGGUGAAAAGCCCGCUCGCCGGAAGACCAAGGGUUCCUGUCCAACGUUAAUCGGGGCAGGGUGAGUCGACCCCUAAGGCGAGGCCGAAAGGCGUAGUCGAUGGGAAACAGGUUAAUAUUCCUGUACUUGGUGUUACUGCGAAGGGGGGACGGAGAAGGCUAUGUUGGCCGGGCGACGGUUGUCCCGGUUUAAGCGUGUAGGUGUGUGUUCCAGGUAAAUCCGGUUCACUUUAACACUGAGGCGUGACGACGAGGCACUACGGUGCUGAAGCAACAAAUGCCCUGCUUCCAGGAAAAGCCUCUAAGCAUCAGGUAACAUCAAAUCGUACCCCAAACCGACACAGGUGGUCAGGUAGAGAAUACCAAGGCGCUUGAGAGAACUCGGGUGAAGGAACUAGGCAAAAUGGUGCCGUAACUUCGGGAGAAGGCACGCUGACACGUAGGUGAAGUGAUUUACUCAUGGAGCUGAAGUCAGUCGAAGAUACCAGCUGGCUGCAACUGUUUAUUAAAAACACAGCACUGUGCAAACACGAAAGUGGACGUAUACGGUGUGACGCCUGCCCGGUGCCGGAAGGUUAAUUGAUGGGGUCAGCGCAAGCGAAGCUCCUGAUCGAAGCCCCGGUAAACGGCGGCCGUAACUAUAACGGUCCUAAGGUAGCGAAAUUCCUUGUCGGGUAAGUUCCGACCUGCACGAAUGGCGUAAUGAUGGCCAGGCUGUCUCCACCCGAGACUCAGUGAAAUUGAACUCGCUGUGAAGAUGCAGUGUACCCGCGGCAAGACGGAAAGACCCCGUGAACCUUUACUAUAGCUUGACACUGAACAUUGAGCCUUGAUGUGUAGGAUAGGUGGGAGGCUUUGAAGUGUGGACGCCAGUCUGCAUGGAGCCGACCUUGAAAUACCACCCUUUAAUGUUUGAUGUUCUAACGU
rnacentral:rRNA from 1 species